rnacentral:rRNA from 1 species
CACGUAGUUAGCCGGUACUUCUUCUGCAGGUACCGUCACCCAAAGGCUUCUUCCCUACUGAAAGAGGUUUACAACCCGAAGGCCGUCAUCCCCCACGCGGCGUCGCUGCAUCAGGGUUUCCCCCAUUGUGCAAUAUUCCCCACUGCUGCCUCCCGUAGGAGUCUGGGCCGUGUCUCAGUCCCAGUGUGGCCGGUCGCCCUCUCAGGCCGGCUACCCGUCGUCGUCUUGGUAGGCCAUUACCCCACCAACAAACUGAUAGGCCGCGAGCCCAUCCCCAACCGAAAAAACUUUCCACCACCAAACAUGCGAAAGAUGGUCAUAUCCGGUAUUAGACCCAGUUUCCCAGGCUUAUCCCGAAGUCAGGGGCAGGUUACUCACGUGAUACUCACCCGUUCGCCACUCAUCCACCCAGUGCAAGCACCAAGCUUCAGCGUUCGACUUGCAUGUGUUAAGCACGCCGCCAGCGUUCGUCCUGAGCCAGGAUCAAACUCU